rnacentral:tRNA from 1 species
GCGGGAAUAGCUCAGCUGGUAGAGCGCAACCUUGCCAAGGUUGAGGUCGCGAGUUCGAUCCUCGUUUCCCGCUCCA